AUGAACGCUGGCGGCGUGCCUAAUACAUGCAAGUCGAGCGAACGGACGAGAAGCUUGCUUCUCUGAUGUUAGCGGCGGACGGGUGAGUAACACGUGGAUAACCUACCUAUAAGACUGGGAUAACUUCGGGAAACCGUAGCUAAUACCGGAUAAUAUUUUGAACCGCAUGGUUCAAAAGUGAAAGACGGUCUUGCUGUCACUUAUAGAUGGAUCCGCGCUGCAUUAGCUAGUUGGUAAGGUAACGGCUUACCAAGGCAACGAUGCAUAGCCGACCUGAGAGGGUGAUCGGCCACACUGGAACUGAGACACGGUUCAGACUCCUACGGGAGGCAGCAGUAGGGAAUCUUCCGCAAUGGGCGAAAGCCUGACGGAGCAACGCCGCGUGAGUGAUGAAGGUCUUCGGAUCGUAAAACUCUGUUAUUAGGGAAGAACAUAUGUGUAAGUAACUGUGCACAUCUUGACGGUACCUAAUCAGAAAGCCACGGCUAACUACGUG
rnacentral:rRNA from 1 species